CCUACGGGAGACUGCAGUGGGGAAUAUUGCGCAAUGGGCGAAAGCCUGACGCAGCGACGCCGCGUGAGGGAUGAAGGUCUUCGGAUCGUAAACCUCUGUUAGCAGGGAAGAACGGUCACUGUGCUAAUCAGCAGUGAAUUGACGGUACCUGCAAAGGAAGCAACGGCUAACUCCGUGCAAGCAGCCGCGGUAAGACGGAGGGUGCGGGCGUUAAUCGGUAUUACUGGGCGUAAAGCGCGCGUAGGCGGUAUGUCAAGUCAAGGGUGAAAUCCCCGCGCUCAACGUGGGAACUGCCUGUGAAACUGGCAAACUGGAGUGUGUGAGAGGAUAGUGGAAUUCCAGGUGUAGGAGUGAAAUCCGUAGAUAUCUGGAGGAACAUCAGUGGCGAAGGCGACUAUCUGGCACAUAACUGACGCUGAGGAGCGAAAGCGUGGGUAGCAAACAGGAUUAGAUACCCCAGUAGUC
rnacentral:rRNA from 1 species